rnacentral:rRNA from 1 species
CACAUGCAGUCGAGGGGCAGCAUGAUUGAAGCUUGCUUCAAUUGAUGGCGACCGGCGCACGGGUGAGUAACGCGUAUCCAACCUUCCGUACACUCAGGGAUAGCCUUUCGAAAGAAAGAUUAAUACCUGAUGGUAUGAUGAGAUUGCAUGAUAGCAUCAUUAAAGAUUUAUCGGUGUACGAUGGGGAUGCGUUCCAUUAGGUAGUAGGCGGGGUAAUGGCCCACCUAGCCGACGAUGGAUAGGGGUUCUGAGAGGAAGGUCCCCCACAUUGGAACUGAGACACGGUCCAAACUCCUACGGGAGGCAGCAGUGAGGAAUAUUGGUCAAUGGACGAGAGUCUGAACCAGCCAAGUAGCGUGAAGGAUGAAGGUCCUACGGAUUGUAAACUUCUUUUAUAAGGGAAUAAAACCUCCCACGCGUGGGAGCUUGUAUGUACCUUAUGAAUAAGCAUCGGCUAACUCCGUGCCAGCAGCCGCGGUAAUACGGAGGAUGCGAGCGUUAUCCGGAUUUAUUGGGUUUAAAGGGAGCGCAGACGGGUCGUUAAGUCAGCUGUGAAAGUUUGGGGCUCAACCUUAAAAUUGCAGUUGAUACUGGCGUCCUUGAGUGCGGUUGAGGUGUGCGGAAUUCGUGGUGUAGCGGUGAAAUGCUUAGAUAUCACGAAGAACUCCGAUUGCGAAGGCAGCACACUAAGCCGUAACUGACGUUCAUGCUCGAAAGUGUGGGUAUCAAACAGGAUUAGAUACCCUGGUAGUCCACACGGUAAACGAUGGAUACUCGCUGUUGGCGAUAUACAGUCAGCGGCUUAGCGAAAGCGUUAAGUAUCCCACCUGGGGAGUACGCCGGCACGGUGAAACUCAAAGGAAUUGACGGGGGCCCGCACAAGCGGAGGAACAUGUGGUUUAAU